GAUAAACGCUGGCGGCGUGCCUAAUACAUGCAAGUCGAGCGAACGGACGAGAAGCUUGCUUCUCUGAUGUUAGCGGCGGACGGGUGAGUAACACGUGGAUAACCUACCUAUAAGACUGGGAUAACUUCGGGAAACCGGAGCUAAUACCGGAUAAUAUUUUGAACCGCAUGGUUCAAAAGUGAAAGACGGUCUUGCUGUCACUUAUAGAUGGAUCCGCGCUGCAUUAGCUAGUUGGUAAGGUAACGGCUUACCAAGGCAACGAUGCAUAGCCGACCUGAGAGGGUGAUCGGCCACACUGGAACUGAGACACGGUCCAGACUCCUACGGGAGGCAGCAGUAGGGAAUCUUCCGCAAUGGGCGAAAGCCUGACGGAGCAACGCCGCGUGAGUGAUGAAGGUCUUCGGAUCGUAAAACUCUGUUAUUUGGGAAGAACAUAUGUGUAAGUAACUGUGCACAUCUUGACGGUACCUAAUCAGAAAGCCACGGCUAACUACGUGCCAGCAGCCGCGGUAAUACGUAGGUGGCAAGCGUUAUCCGGAAUUAUUGGGCGUAAAGCGCGCGUAGGCGGUUUUUUAAGUCUGAUGUGAAAGCCCACGGCUCAACCGUGGAGGGUCAUUGGAAACUGGAAAACUUGAGUGCAGAAGAGGAAAGUGGAAUUCCAUGUGUAGCGGUGAAAUGCGCAGAGAUAUGGAGGAACACCAGUGGCGAAGGCGACUUUCUGGUCUGUAACUGACGCUGAUGUGCGAAAGCGUGGGGAUCAAACAGGAUUAGAUACCCUGGUAGUCCACGCCGUAAACGAUGAGUGCUAAGUGUUAGGGGGUUUCCGCCCCUUAGUGCUGCAGCUAACGCAUUAAGCACUCCGCCUGGGGAGUACGACCGCAAGGUUGAAACUCAAAGGAAUUGACGGGGACCCGCACAAGCGGUGGAGCAUGUGGUUUAAUUCGAAGCAACGCGAAGAACCUUACCAAAUCUUGACAUCCUUUGACAACUCUAGAGAUAGAGCCUUCCCCUUCGGGGGACAAAGUGACAGGUGGUGCAUGGUUGUCGUCAGCUCGUGUCGUGAGAUGUUGGGUUAAGUCCCGCAACGAGCGCAACCCUUAAGCUUAGUUGCCAUCAUUAAGUUGGGCACUCUAAGUUGACUGCCGGUGACAAACCGGAGGAAGGUGGGGAUGACGUCAAAUCAUCAUGCCCCUUAUGAUUUGGGCUACACACGUGCUACAAUGGACAAUACAAAGGGCAGCGAAACCGCGAGGUCAAGCAAAUCCCAUAAAGUUGUUCUCAGUUCGGAUUGUAGUCUGCAACUCGACUACAUGGAGCUGGAAUCGCUAGUAAUCGUAGAUCAGCAUGCUACGGUGAAUACGUUCCCGGGUCU
rnacentral:rRNA from 1 species